rnacentral:lncRNA from 1 species
GGAAAAUCUUGGGCUGUGUCAUUCAGUCCCGCAGAGUCUAAGCACAUGCUCCAUCCAGUCCACUGCCCUCAGCUCUUAUACACACCAUAAAUGCUGAUAACACUGAUCACUUGCAUCGGAUGCCACUGUGGACAUUCAAUCUUCUAGCCAGUGUCCUUCUGCUCCCAAUUCUACACUCCAACCCAAAGUUCCACUAUCUUAACAAAGAUGAGAAAACUGAAUCUCUAGGAAGCAAGUCCUAUGAUGCUGGGGAAGAUGAGCCAGAGUGAUCUGUGAGAGAUACCCGAGUUGGCCAAGUGGAGACGCAUCUUCU